rnacentral:tRNA from 1 species
CGACAGUUACAUUAAGGGUGAGAGCACCGGAUUGAAGCUCCGGGGAGACUGGUUCAACUCCAGUACCGCCCACUA